CCUCAGUCUUUCUGAAUCAUCUCCGUCAUCUCACAUGAUCAACCUUCUUCCAACUUCUUCUCUUGCAUUCCGUCGUCUCGCUUCCAACCCAUCCAACACGGCAACACAACGCAGCCUUUCUCAACCAUCUCCGUCAUCUCCUUCAUCUCCCUGGCACCGCCGAAAGAGAUGGAAGAUUGUAUCAGAGUGAGAAGGCAAGAUCAUGACAGACAGAUUUCGUCAUCCAUGAGCUGGAUCAUGUCAGUCGAGCAUUGUAAUGGAGCCAAUUGUGUAGCAACAAGUUAGCUUCUUUGACACCAAUCUUCAAGUUUCCAAUAAGAUGACAUACUUAAUUCAUCAUUCAAAUAGCUACCCUAUUAAAAUUUAAAUUAUAGAGUAAUUGGUUUUUCCAUUUUCCAUCUCUAUAAUUAAAUACUCCCACAUCGUGAAGCAGUGUAUGUCCCCUGCCAUUCCUCAAGACCAUAUCCUAUUCAUCUCAUCCUAAUUGAUGCAAAGAGCAUAAGCUGUCUUUAAGGAAGUUUUUUGGCACAAAGUUGAUUUAGCCGAAGAGUGGGUGGCAUCUAUGUGGUGUGAAGUAUAUGAUGUUUUAAAGGAGGUUCCCUUAACAGACAUGUGAUGUGAUUGGAUUGGGCAGCUUUUUUCUCCAUUAUGCUCUUAUAUUUCCCAUUUUGUGUUUUCCUCUUCAAUUAAAUAAAAAGAUGUUGAAAGAUUGCUCGCGAAUUGCGAUUUUUCAAGGAACAAAUGUUGAAGGCAGGUGUUUCACCAAAACUGUCUACAACACAAGUUGAUGUGAACAUUCAUAACCUUGAGGUAAAACUUUCAGAUAUCGAGUCAGAGUUAACUGAGAUGAAUGCAAAUGGUGAAAAAUUGCAACGCUCAUACAAUAACCUUGUGGAGUAUAAGCGUGUUCUACAGAAGAGCCUUUUGUAACUGAGAAAAAGCUGCGUAGUACAGACUAUAAGAUUAAUGCUUUCUAAAUCAAUGAUGGAGAAAUGGGUUCUGUUGGUCAAUUCGCAAGUGUACGAAUCCACCCGGUUUUAAAUAUCGAACCACAGGGAUUGUGAGUGACUAAAUUCAGUUUAAGCUUUGAGUAUGAAGGUUUGUAUUAUUGAAUAAGAGAUAUGUUGAAGUAGUAAUAAGAAAAAGGAAAAAUAAAAAGACAAUUCAGAAAAUAACAUGCUUUGGGUUCUUGUUCAACUAGUCAAUUCAAGUACAUCAUUCUAAGCACAUGUUCUCAUGGAUCUUUCCUUGAUGAUAUAGCCUAGUUACUCACUUAUUGAUUCCUCACAUAAGCAAUUCUCUCAUACUAAAAGCUAAGCCCAAUUCCUUGUGUACUUAGUCAUUUAUAUGAGGUUUUAGAUCAUGCAAAUUCAGGCCAUCAAACCCCGACCCUUCCUCUAUUCCUAGUAGCAAGUAUAGAAGGGGUAAUCCCAAAUCAGUUCCCUAAUCUAUAACAAACUUCCGUUCUGAUUAUAGAAAAGCAAAAAGCAAGCAUGCAUACAAGCUUAGAUUGAUGUUCAGAAAAUGAGAUUCAAGGGAAGAAGGAGAACAUGUGGGAAAGAACUUAAGAUUAUAACUCAAAUAUAAAAAGUCUUACAAAGAAAUCCAAAGCAAAGAAUUUUACAAGCUUGAGAUUAGGCAAGAGCCAUGCUUGGCUAAGAACCUGAAUUACAAGCUUGGAAGCCCUCUCUCACUCUCCUAGAUGAUCCUCUACCUCUGAAUUUUACAAAGUAUCCAAGAUUACAAAAGAAAAUGACUAAAAUCCUAUUUAUAGGCAAAAUUAUCGAGGCUGAGCUGUUCUGGGCGCUCAGGCGCCAAUUCAGAGCGCCUGAGCGCCAAUUCCAUCCUGAAAACAUGCUCUCUGGAGCUAAUUGGCGCCUAGGCGCCCAUUCCCAGCGCGUAGGCGCUUAAGCUCGCCUGAAAAGGACUUUUUGGCUUCUGAAACUCCUCUUUUCAAUCCUCUUUAAGUUCUCCAUCAAUUCCAUGCUUCUUGGCCUUCUUCCUCCUUCAGUUUCUGCUCUCCAAACCUAACCAACAAGUCAAGGAAGAAUCUAGAAGCUCAAAGAGCUCAUUAGCACAAGAGGUCCUUCAUAAAACAAAAGAAAAUCAUGCAAGUCCUAAACUUAACUUAAAAUGCAAGAAAACUCCCUAUAAAACUACAAAAUUACCAAAACAAAACAAAGACUCAAGAAAAGAUAAAAAUGCAUGAGAAUGCAUGAAACACUACAUGUGACACAAGAAAAAGACUCAAAACCUACAAGUAAAAACCCUAAAAACAUCAUAUAAACCCGGGUCAUCAGGUUCUCCAACGGAUGAGCUAAUGUUGGACAUGUUGUCACAGAUUGAGAAGGUAAACACAAGUGUUAUAGUAUGUAUGUGGUCUUAUAUUUUAGACUUGUGCUUGUGCAUUUUAUUAAAAUUUUAUUUAGUUAAGCUAGCAACAAUCUGAUACCAAGUUGAUGCAGAAUUGAUAAUGUAGUAGUCUUUGAUACCUUACUUAAUCUAUUUUCCUUUUCUGAUCAUGGAAUUUGUAACUGAAAAAGAUUUAGGCCAUAGCACCAUUCCAGUUUUAUUUUAUUUCUGCAAAAUAUCAAGAUUAACUCGGUUCAUAAAGAUUUUUAAUUCUCCCACCUCUGCCUCUUCCUUAUCUGUAUGAAAAUUAUUUGAAUUCUACCAGCUCUUUAAUUUUAUAUUUGUUCAGCUAAGGUUUUCCAAUCACACAAAACUUACCAUUAAUCUUUAUGGUCAUACUUUUGAGUCGAAACCAAGCAAUGUGUUCACAGUUAACUAGUAAAGACAUGUGUGAUAUUUAUUUGUUUUAUACCUCAUUUAUAAAUCAUUAUUUGAAAUUUGGUAUUGCAAUGGAAUAGAAUAACAGUUGACCUAAGUUUUUCAUUCCAUGAUAAAAUCACAAAUGAUCAUUAAUUGGAAUACAUUUAAUGAUUUGAAAAGUUAGGAGCAUGUAAUCUCGUAUGAUAGAUUUAUAAGCACUUGAAAAUGAGGAUGUGUUUUAAGUAACAUAUAGGCAGCAAUGUCAUUCAUGUUGAUUAUGCCUUUGAAGUGUUUAUUGUACUUAUUUUUACGUAUGGUCUUAUUUGUUCUAUUGCAUCUGUUUUAAAACUAAUUGAAUUAAAUGAGCUUCUUAAAGUUACAUUUGCUCAAUCAAAUUCCACAUUCAUAUAUAUAUAUAUAUAUAUAUAUAUAUUGAUCAUUGGCGUAUUUCGAGUGUUGCAGCAUAAUCUAACAAUAACAACGUUAUUGUAUAAUAAUUAUAAUUAUAAGAAAACAGUUAAAACGAGGGCAUAUCAAGUGAGAGGAGUGUUUUAUUGUGAGAGACGAGAGCAAUAAAUGAUAGCCAUUGGAUUAAGAUAAACAGUUCUGAUUUAAACUCCCAAUGUACAAUUUCACGUGACUCUCUUCUGCUCGCUCAAGUCUCAAAACACCUAUUCGUCUUCCCAACUUUAGCUGGGCUAUUCCUUCAAUACUUUCGGGUAGUGCAGUUCCUAUAUGAUAUGAGAUUGCAAAUGUCAUAAGCAUUCCUGUAUUACUGCAAUUAAUGGUUGAAAAGUCUGUGUGAUUAAAAAACAAUUUGGUGGAGGUGGCUCUCAUAUCUAGCUUCUUGAUGUGGAGGAGUGUGUGUGGUGUUCGUGGUUGGAAUAGGAUUGUCUGAUCAGUUUUUUUUUUUUUUGCUGUGGUUUUCUUGGGUUAGAGUUCUUCCUCCACAAGAUAGAAAAUGCAGCAAAGAAAUUGCUUUUCUUCAUCCCUAACUAGACUUUGAUGUACAUAGUGAAUGCAUUUGUGGUGAUUUGGGUUUUGGUGGUGGGCCAACAUGACAAACUUCAGUAUGCAGGUUGAUACAUUCAGAUUAUUUACAAAGUGCUAUUUUCUAUGUACCUUUUUUCUUCUUUUAUUUUACUCUAGCAGAAUGUCAGCAGGCCAUGCUAUGGUCAUAAUUCAUAACUGAUAAGUGGGUUUAUAACUAUCAUCGGUGCGUUAUAUAACUUAUUCUUCAUGUUUUGAUAACUUGAUGUGUGCUAUAUAUGUCCAUUGCAGCCAACUGCUGACACUUUUCUUCUAGAAAUGAAACUUAUUCAGCAUCAAGUAUGAAGGAAUUUAACCAUGCCGCUAUCCUAUAAUAUUUUGUUCAUCUACAAGCGCAACCUUAUAACUUAUAGCUUUUGGAUAGGAGAACAAUGGCGAUUCGGGAAAUCAUAGGGAAAGCACUGGUCACCAAGGGGAGGCACUAGGCAGUGGCAGAGUUGAAGAAGCCAGCACUAGCACAUUGCUUCCGGCUGCAUCUGCUAUAGACAUGGGAUCUCCUAUAACUGCCAAGUACGCAGUUUACCUUUUAAUAGGACGAAAAAGACUCAUGAGAGAAUUCUUUUACAAGGAGAAAUGAGAUAGAGAAGAAAGAAGAAGAGGGGAAACUCCGAUGGUUUAGUGUUGUAUUCAAAGGACACAUAUCUCAUGUGUCAGAGCAUCUAGCUAUAGUAAUAACGACUGGUUAUAUAUGGAACUUUACAACCUUCAGUGAUUGGAAUCAGAAAAAUGCUGCAGUGGGGUCUUCUCUGCACUUGGCUUUCUUAUAGUUAGAAAUUCAUAGACACAAAGGAGUUCAACUGGAAAGUCGUUUCGAUCCAAUCCAUUCUUGGGGUCAAAUGGAGACAAAGGAUAUGUUAGUGACCUAGCACGACAAACCACUCUCUGAGGGCAUGCAAUGGGCUUCUUAACACGCUGCAUAUGAAUUCAGGAAGUGGUAGCUCCAAAAUCAACAGCAAGGUAGACAGCCACCUCUGUCAGUUGACUAUUAAGUAUGAAAAAAUAACUCAUAUUGACCUAAAGGUUCCGCCAAGGCCUCCUGGCUAUGCGUUUGUAGAGUUUGAAGACACUCAAGAUGAUGAUGCAAUUUGUGGGCGCGAUGGUUAUGAUUUUGAUGGUCACCAUUUACGGAGACACUACAACAAGUUUUUGAAGAAGAAACCUCCCUGGGCUUCGCUUGAGGAAAAAAUUGAAGAAGAAAAAAUGGAGCAGAAGCUAGAGCUUUUCUUGCAAACAAGCUGUAAAAGCAAAAGCGGUAGAGCAAAAAGCCAUUGAGAAUGUUGUCUCACAUGAAAAAGGUAGAAGUCUCAGUUUAAGAUUCAAAUGAUACUGACAGUUGAGGAGUUUGCAUCUAACUGGAAAAAUCAAGGAAUCUGAAGAUUUGUUUGAGACGACAUAGGCAGCUUCCAUGGUUCAAGUGGAAAAUCAACACAAGGAAGAAAUAAAGGCUGCAAAAUACUUGGCUUUGAGGAAUGCAUGCAGAGAUAGCAGAUUCUGAAAAGACCUGCAAAUUACUUUUUUCGCUUUUACUUGCCGCAAGAUGUUAUGCUAAAAGUCAGUUUGAUGAGUCAAAGACCUGCAAAUUCAUCCCAAGAAGAUGUUAUGCUAAAAGUCAGCUUGCCCAAUACCAAUACUUCUGAGUCACAAAAGAGAUGAUUUUUUUUAUAAGGAAUAACCUUUUUAAGCUAACUUAUUUAGCAGCCCACCUCUGGCACAGAUUGUGAUUAAAUGAAAUGUGUUCAUGUUUUAGUUA